UGGCCAGCGGAUGUCCAGGGGCCCGUCCUGUGGGAGGAGGACACGCAGGGGUGUAGAUGGCACGGCUCACGACGCUCCGGAUCACUUUCCCCCGUCGUUCCUGGACUUCACGGCCCGCGAGCCUGCGUUUCUUUGAGCCCGCGGCGCUCAUCAGUCCACCCCCUUCCUGGCUUCUGCUCAGACUCUGCCGGUCGGCGCCGCUCCGUGCGGAGCCCGGGAGUCCGGCGAGCACGUCUGAGGUCAUCCGUGUGCUUUCUCUGACGCGCCUGUUUCCAGAAGAGACUGACUCCAGACCAGUGAAACCUACCCGAAGAUUCUGGCCUGAACGCUUACAGCGUUGACCUGACAAGAAAGUGAGCUUCCGGUUGCCGCCUCGGUGGGGCGGUGGCGAUGGUGGAAGUACGUCACAGCGCGUUUUCAUUCCGCACCGGUACUUUCCAGACUCGCCCCAGACCGAUUCCUAGAGGGGGCGGAGACGGGAACCGUGCCGCCAGGAAUCCAGGGUCCCUCAGGUGAUCGGGGAGUGAUGGCUUUUUCUGGUUUUGUUUUUUGGAGUCUUCUGUUUUAUCUUUAGGCAGAGCUUCUCUGCACGUCCAUAUCUGUUUUAAUUGAAAAAUAAAUUAUUUUACUGCUGAA